rnacentral:rRNA from 1 species
CGAGCGGUAGAGAGAAGCUUGCUUCUCUUGAGAGCGGCGGACGGGUGAGUAAUGCCUAGGAAUCUGCCUGGUAGUGGGGGAUAACGUUCGGAAACGGACGCUAAUACCGCAUACGUCCUACGGGAGAAAGCAGGGGACCUUCGGGCCUUGCGCUAUCAGAUGAGCCUAGGUCGGAUUAGCUAGUUGGUGAGGUAAUGGCUCACCAAGGCGACGAUCCGUAACUGGUCUGAGAGGAUGAUCAGUCACACUGGAACUGAGACACGGUCCAGACUCCUACGGGAGGCAGCAGUGGGGAAUAUUGGACAAUGGGCGAAAGCCUGAUCCAGCCAUGCCGCGUGUGUGAAGAAGGUCUUCGGAUUGUAAAGCACUUUAAGUUGGGAGGAAGGGCAGUUACCUAAUACGUGAUUGUUUUGACGUUACCGACAGAAUAAGCACCGGCUAACUCUGUGCCAGCAGCCGCGGUAAUACAGAGGGUGCAAGCGUUAAAUCGGGAUUUACUGACCGUAAAGCGCGCGUAGGUGGUUUGUUAAGUUGGAUGUGAAAUCCCCGGGCUCAACCUGGGGAACUGCAUUCAAAACUGACUGACUAGAGUAUGGUAGAGGGUGG